rnacentral:rRNA from 1 species
UACGUAGGGCGCAAGCGUUAUCCGGAAUUAUUGGGCGUAAAGAGCUCGUAGGCGGUUUGUCGCGUCUGCCGUGAAAGUCCGGGGCUCAACUCCGGAUCUGCGGUGGGUACGGGCAGACUAGAGUGAUGUAGGGGAGACUGGAAUUCCUGGUGUAGCGGUGAAAUGCGCAGAUAUCAGGAGGAACACCGAUGGCGAAGGCAGGUCUCUGGGCAUUAACUGACGCUGAGGAGCGAAAGCGUGGGUAGCAAACAGG